rnacentral:rRNA from 1 species
UACGGAGGGUGCAAGCGUUAUCCGGAUUUACUGGGUUUAAAGGGUGUGUAGGCGGGCUUUUAAGUCAGUGGUGAAAUCUCCGGGCUCAACCCGGAAACUGCCAUUGAUACUAUUAGUCUUGAAUAUUGUUGAGGUAGGCGGAAUAAGUCAUGUAGCGGUGAAAUGCAUAGAUAUGACUUAGAACACCGAUUGCGAAGGCAGCUGGCUACGCAUAUAUUGACACUGAGGCACGAAAGCGUGGGGAUCAAACAGG